UCAAAAUAUCUAUUAUUCGUCUGUAUUUUGUCUCAAGCACCUCAGAUGGCCUUACACAUAAAGCAUUAAUAAAUAUCUGCUGAAUCAGUAAAAUAUAUAUACUUUUCAGGAAGAUGAAAUAUAAUGUGUUAUAUAGUGAUAGUGACUUUAACCAGUAUUUUCCUUGUAUAGCUUUUCAAAUAUAUAAAGUAUAUAAUCAUAUAAUCACAUGAUCUACUACAAAUUCCUUACAAGAAAUCUGAUGGAUACAUUGGCCUUAUCAAUAACAAGUAAUGUUAUUGAAAAUACUCAUAAUUAUAAAUCUUUAUUGAAAUAUUUUACUUUCCAAAAUAACUUCUAGAAAAGAAUAGAUCUGCUGUAAAGAACCUUAAAUCUUCAUAGCUUUGCCUUCUUUAUAUAACCAAUUCCCUUUCAAUAAAACCUACCCAACUUAUUAUACAGAAAGAUUAUUUCUUUAUAAAAUGAGAUCAUUUCCACACUUGCACAUUUGAUGUUACUGCCAAUAAUUAGUCACCAAUUUAUUACUUUUGGAAUCCUUUAAACCAGUACUUUCUUGACUGGCACUCAGUUUAGUGAUAGAGUAUUUUAUUAAAUAUGGAUCCUUGAUUGUCAUAAGAAAUAUUGUUGGAAACUAUGUACAAAAGAUGCCCUCAUGGGUGAACUAUCUUAGUUUUCCCUGUAGUACAUACUUAUAGUUUUGUCUGAAUUGUAUGUGUGGUUUUAUGUUUAACCUAAAUCAUUUUUUAAACAGCUUUUUAAUUUAGGAUAACUUUAGAUUUACAGAAAAGUUGCAAAGAUG
rnacentral:lncRNA from 1 species